AUUGAACGCUGGCGGCAUGCCUUACACAUGCAAGUCGAACGGCAGCACGGGAGCAAUCCUGGUGGCGAGUGGCGAACGGGUGAGUAAUAUAUCGGAACGUGCCCAGUCGUGGGGAUAACGUAGCGAAAGCUACGCUAAUACCGCAUACGAUCUAUGGAUGAAAGCGGGGGAUCGCAAGACCUCGCGCGAUUGGAGCGGCCGAUAUCAGAUUAGGUAGUUGGUGGGGUAAAGGCCUACCAAGGCGACGAUCCAUAGCUGGUCUGAGAGGAUGAUCAGCCACACUGGGACUGAGACACGGCCCAGACUCCUACGGGAGGCAGCAGUGGGGAAUAUUGGACAAUGGGCGAAAGCCUGAUCCAGCAAUGCCGCGUGAGUGAUGAAGGCCUUAGGGUGUAAAGCUCUUUUACCCGAGAUGAUAAUGACAGUAUCGGGAGAAUAAGCUCCGGCUAACUCCGUGCCAGCAGCCGACGG
rnacentral:rRNA from 1 species